AAGUCUGGUGCCAACAGCCGCGGUAAUUCCAGCUCCAAUAGCGUAUAUUAACGUUGUUGCAGUUAAAAAGCUCGUAGUUGAAGUGUGGGUGAUCGCUGUUGUGAGACUUCGGUCUCUCGACAGUAAGUCACCCCCUUCCAGUAUCCAGUAGUGGGUAUUCACUUACUUACUACUGUGUGUUGGUCGUUUACUGUGAGAAAAUUAGAGUGUUCAAAGCAGGCGUUUGCUUGAAUAGAUUAGCAUGGAAUAAUAAUUGAAGGCUUUCGUGUUCGAUUUGAUUGGUUUGUUCAUGGAAGCAAGGUUAAAAGGAACAGUUGGGGGUAUUCAUAUUCACUAGUUAGAGGUGAAAUUCUCGGAUUUAUGGAAGAUGAACAAGUGCGAAAGCA
rnacentral:rRNA from 1 species